UGGGAGGUAGUUUAAUGAUAAAAUGCCAGUCUCCAAAACUGGAAGAUAAAGGUUUGAGUCCUUUCCUCUCAG
rnacentral:tRNA from 1 species